UUUGAUGGCGACCGGCGCACGGGUGAGUAACACGUAUCCAACCUGCCGAUGACUCGGGGAUAGCCUUUCGAAAGAAAGAUUAAUACCCGAUGGCAUAGUUCUUCCGCAUGGUAGAACUAUUAAAGAAUUUCGGUCAUCGAUGGGGAUGCGUUCCAUUAGCUUGUUGGCGGGGUAACGGCCCACCAAGGCAUCGAUGGAUAGGGGUUCUGAGAGGAAGGUCCCCCACAUUGGGACUGAGACACGGUCCAAACUCCUACGGGAGGCAGCAG
rnacentral:rRNA from 1 species